UACAGAGGUCUCAAGCGUUGUUCGGAUUCAUUGGGCGUAAAGGGUGCGUAGGCGGCGCGGUAAGUCGGGUGUGAAUCUCGGAGCUUAACUCCGAAACUGCAUUCGAUACUGCCGUGCUUGAGGACUGGAGAAGGAGACUGGAAUUUACGGUGUAGCGGUGAAAUGACGUAGAUAUCGUAAGGAAGACCAGUGGCGAAGGCAGGUCGCUGGACAGUUCCUG
rnacentral:rRNA from 1 species